AUGCAAAAUCUGGCGGGUGGGUCCCACUGUCAGGUGCCAUGUGGCCAGCAGAAUAGACGGCAGAAACGGACGUUAAACAGCAGGUCAACCGAGAACUCUGCCUCCUUGGCAUUUUGCCAAACAUGUAGUAGGCACACCAGAUUGGCAGCCCGAUGCAUUACUACAUGGUUGACCCACCGCUGUCGAGCGCACGCCACCGUCCGUCGGAGUCGCCGCCGAACGCCUAGUCUCCGCGCUCGACCUUUCUCUUCCUCCGUGCGCCGCCACGCCCUCUGUCCCUCCUCUGUGCUCUCUCGCAAGUUGCAGUGGCGCUCCACCGCGCCCUGUCGCCGCCCAUUCAUGGAGCUCGUGGCCAACGGCCGAGUCUCACAACGCCGUCAUGUCAGCUAG
rnacentral:rRNA from 1 species